GGAGGGUUUGCCUAACGGUAUGGCAGUGGUCUUGAAAACCACCGUCCGAAAGGACUUGGGGGUUCGAGUCCCUCACCCUCCGCCA
rnacentral:tRNA from 1 species